rnacentral:rRNA from 1 species
GCAGAGCGCGCCUAUCUGCAGUCGACGCAGUACAAUACUGAGUGGCAAACGGGUGAGUAUAAUGUGGGUAUCUGCCUUUUGGUUUGGAAUAACAUGAGGAAACUUGUGCUAAUACCGGAUAAGCCUUCACAGGGAAAGUUUUAUACGCCGAAAGAUGAGCCCGCACUUGAUUAGUUUGUUGGUGAGGUAAUGGCUCACCAAGACUAUUAUCAAUAGCUGGUCUGAGAGGACGAUCAGCCACAUUGGGACUGAGACACGGCCCAGACUCCUACGGGAGGCAGCAGUAAGGAAUCUUGCACAAUGGGGGAAACCCUGAUGCAGCGAUGCCGCGUGAGUGAAGAAGGCCCUUGGGUUGUAAAACUCUUUCGUCGGGGAAGAAAAUGACUGUACCCGAAUAAGAAGGUCCGGCUAACUUCGUGCCAGCAGCCGCGGUAAUACGAAGGGACCUAGCGUAGUUCGGAAUUACUGGGCUUAAAGAGCUCGUAGGUGGUUAAAAAAGUUGAUGGUGAAAUCCCAAGGCUCAACCUUGGAACUGCCAUCAAAACUUUUUAGCUAGAGUGUGAUAGAGGAAAGUGGAAUUUCUAGUGUAGAGGUGAAAUUCGUAGAUAUUAGAAAGAACACCAAAUGCGAAGGCAACUUUCUGGGUCACUACUGACACUGAGGAGCGAAAGCAUGGGUAGCGAAGAGGAUUAGAUACCCUCGUAGUCCAUGCCGUAAACGAUGUGUGCUAGACGUUGGAAAUAUAUUUUUCAGUGUCGCAGCGAAAGCAUUAAGCACACCGCCUGGGGAGUACGACCGCAAGGUUAAAACUCAAAUGAAUUGACGGGGACCCGCACAGGC